AUGGUAGUGAGAUUGACUGAGUUUGGGGAUAAACUUGAAUUUAUAACUUGUCCAGCGCGCACUUCAUAAUUACUAUAUCUGAUUCUAGUGGCAUUCUUGUUGCUUCGAGUAUUGAUAGUCCAAGUGGGAGACUGUAAGAAUUUGUGGACUUAUCAAUCUCAAUUAGGAAUGCAAUAACUUGCUACUCUACUUGCAGAAAAAGUAAUCGGACAGAGUUGUGCUAUUCUAGUUUAAUUCCUCCUGCAUUGAGGAUACAAAUUUAUGUAAUGGCCAUGCUUUGUAUCAUUAGUAAACUCUUUUGUAUUUGAAUCAGGAUU
rnacentral:lncRNA from 1 species